rnacentral:rRNA from 1 species
GACGUAGGGCGCGAGCGUUUGUCCGGAUUUAUUGGGCGUAAAGAGCUCGUAGGCGGUGUGUCGCGUCGGCCGUGAAAACCUGCAGCUUAACUGUGGCGUGCGGUCGAUACGGGCAUCACUGGAGUUCGGCAGGGGAGACUGGAAUUCCUGGUGUAGCGGUGAAAUGCGCAGAUAUCAGGAGGAACACCGGUGGCGAAGGCGGGUCUCUGGGACGGUACUGACGCUGAGACGCGAAAGCGUGGGGAGCGAACAGG